rnacentral:rRNA from 1 species
AGUGAACGCUGGCGGCGUGCUUAACACAUGCAAGUCGAGCGAUUCUCUUCGGAGAAGAGCGGCGGACGGGUGAGUAACGCGUGGGUAACCUGCCCUAUACACACGGAUAACAUACCGAAAGGUAUGCUAAUACGAGAUAAUAUGCUUUUAUCGCAUGGUAGAAGUAUCAAAGCUCCGGCGGUACAGGAUGGACCCGCGUCUGAUUAGCUAGUUGGUAAGGUAACGGCUUACCAAGGCGACGAUCAGUAGCCGACCUGAGAGGGUGAUCGGCCACAUUGGAACUGAGACACGGUCCAAACUCCUACGGGAGGCAGCAGUGGGGAAUAUUGCACAAUGGGCGAAAGCCAGAUGCGGCAACGCCGCGUGAGCGAUGAAGGCCUUCGGGUCGUAAAGCUCUGUCCUCAAGGAAGAUAAUGACGGUACUUGAGGAGGAAGCCCCGGCUAACUACGUGCCAGCAGCCGCAGUAA